ACAAAUGAAAAGUUUGUGUGUGAACCAAGGAUUAAAAAUAAUCCAAUUUUGUGCACCUGAAGU
rnacentral:snoRNA from 1 species